rnacentral:rRNA from 1 species
UGGGGAAUUUUGGACAAUGGGCGAAAGCCUGAUCCAGCAAUGCCGCGUGUGUGAAGAAGGCCUUCGGGUUGUAAAGCACUUUUGUCCGGAAAGAAAUCCUUGGCUCUAAUACAGUCGGGGGAUGACGGUACCGGAAGAAUAAGCACCGGCUAACUACGUGCCAGCAGCCGCGGUAAUACGUAGGGUGCAAGCGUUAAUCGGAAUUACUGGGCGUAAAGCGUGCGCAGGCGGUUUGCUAAGACCGAUGUGAAAUCCCCGGGCUCAACCUGGGAACUGCAUUGGUGACUGGCAGGCUAGAGUAUGGCAGAGGGGGGUAGAAUUCCACGUGUAGCAGUGAAAUGCGUAGAGAUGUGGAGGAAUACCGAUGGCGAAGGCAGCCCCCUGGGCAAUACUGACGCUCAUGCACGAAAGCGUGGGGAGCAAACAGGAUUAGAUACCCUGGUAGUCCACGCCCUAAACGAUGUCAACUAGUUGUUGGGGAUUCAUUUCCUUAGUAACGUAGCUAACGCGUGAAGUUGACCGCCUGGGGAGUACGGUCGCAAGAUUAAAACUUAAAUGAAUUG